AGUGGGUGUAACGUACCCACUAGCCUACGACGGGUACGGGUUGUGAGAGCAAGAGCCCGGAGAUGGAUUCUGAGACAUGAAUCCAGGCCCUACGGGGUGCAGCAGGCGCGAAAACUUUACAAUGCGGGCAACCGCGAUAAGGGGACCUCGAGUGCUGGGUUACAAACCUGGCUGUUGGGCUGCCUAAAAAGCAGUCUAUAGCAAGGGCCGGGCAAGACCGGUGCCAGCCGCCGCGGUAACACCGGCGGCUCGAGUGGUAACCGCUGUUAUUGGGUCUAAAGGGUCUGUAGCCUGCCGGCUAAGUCUCUUGGGAAAUCUGGCAUCUCAAGUGUCAGGCUGCCAGGGGAUACUGGUCAGCUUGGGACCGGGAGAGGUGAGAGGUACCUCAGGGGUAGGGGUGAAAUCUUGUAAUCCUUGAGGGACCACCAGUGGCGAAGGCGUCUCACCAGAACGGAUCCGACGGCAAGGGACGAAAGCUAGGGGUACGAACCGGAUUAGAU
rnacentral:rRNA from 1 species